AUUGAACGCUGGCGGCAUGCCUUACACAUGCAAGUCGAACGGCAGCACGGGUGCUUGCACCUGGUGGCGAGUGGCGAACGGGUGAGUAAUACAUCGGAACAUGUCCUGUAGUGGGGAUAGCCCGGCGAAAGCCGGAUUAAUACCGCAAACGAACCACGGAUGAAAGCGGGGGACCUUCGGGCCUCGCGCCAUAGGGUUGGCCGGUGGCUGAUUAGCUAGUUGGUGGGGUAAAGGCCUACCAAGGCGACGAUCAGUAGCUGGUCUGAGAGGACGACCGGCCACCCUGGAACUGAGACACGGCCCAGACUCCUACGGGAGGCAGCGUUGGGGAAUUUUGGACAAUGGGCGAAAGCCUGAUCCAGCAAUGCCGCGUGUGUGAAGAAGGCCUUCGGGUUGUAAGCACUUUUGUCCGGAAAGAAAUCCUUGGCCCUAAUACGGUCGGGGGAUGACGGUACCGGAAGAAUAAGCACCGGCUAACUACGUG
rnacentral:rRNA from 1 species